rnacentral:rRNA from 1 species
AAAUGAAUAGACGGGGGCCCGCACAAGCGGAGGAACAUGUGGUUUAAUUCGAUGAUACGCGAGGAACCUUACCCGGGCUUGAAAUGCGCAGGAAUGGAGUGGAAACAUUUCAGUCAGCAAUGACCUGCGUGUAGGUGCUGCAUGGUUGUCGUCAGCUCGUGCCGUGAGGUGUCGGCUUAAGUGCCAUAACGAGCGCAACCCUUAUCAUUAGUUACUAACAGGUCAAGCUGAGGACUCUAGUGAGACUGCCACCGUAAGGUGUGAGGAAGGUGGGGAUGACGUCAAAUCAGCACGGCCCUUACGUCCGGGGCGACACACGUGUUACAAUGGGGGGUACAGAGGGUUGCUACCACGCGAGUGGAUGCUAAUCUCAUAAAUCCUCUCUCAGUUCGGAUCGGAGUCUGCAACUCGACUUCGUGAAGCUGGAUUCGCUAGUAAUCGCGCAUCAGCCAUGGCGCGGUGAAUACGUUCCCGGGCCUUGUACACACCGCCCGU